rnacentral:rRNA from 1 species
GAAACCAACAGGGAUUGCCUCAGUAGCGGCGAGUGAAGCGGCAAGAGCUCAGAUUUGAAAUCGUGCUUGCGGCACGAGUUGUAGAUUGCAGGUUGGAGUCUGUGUGGAAGGCGGUGUCCAAGUCCCUUGGAACAGGGCGCCCAGGAGGGUGAGAGCCCCGUGGGAUGCCGGCGGAAGCAGUGAGGCCCUUCUGACGAGUCGAGUUGUUUGGGAAUGCAGCUCCAAGCGGGUGGUAAAUUCCAUCUAAGGCUAAAUACUGGCGAGAGACCGAUAGCGAACAAGUACUGUGAAGGAAAGAUGAAAAGCACUUUGAAAAGAGAGUGAAACAGCACGUGAAAUUGUUGAAAGGGAAGGGUAUUGCGCCCGACAUGGGGAUUGCGCACCGCUGCCUCUCGUGGGCGGCGCUCUGGGCUUUCCCUGGGCCAGCAUCGGUUCUUGCUGCAGGAGAAGGGGUUCUGGAACGUGGCUCUUCGGAGUGUUAUAGCCAGG